rnacentral:ncRNA from 1 species
GCAGAGUAGGUGUCUGUGCGUUGGCAGUUUUCUGCCGGCUGUCCAUUUCCCGGGAAAUGGACGGUUCAGUGUCAGAGGAACGGGGAGUUGUCCUCUGAACGAAAAGAACGGAUAGGCUGUAUCAAGCUUAGCGCUCAUUUGCGCCGGUUGAUUAUCAGCUUCCGUCUUACGGUACACACACCGCAUCCCGCUGC